GAAUCAAGCACUAGUUUGGCCCUCGAAACCUGACCACACAAAUUAUUUAUUAUUAUACCAUAAAAUUAUUGAAAGAAUAAAAAUGCAUGCAUGAACCGCAUGGGUUCAGACUUCAUUUAUAUAUAUUUUCAACUAUAUGUAUAUAAUUCGAGUUGAAAAUAAUAAGGUACAUUGACAAAGUAAUUGCGCUCACCUGAUUUUGGGCAAAAAAAACUACCAAAAGAACGAACAAGACAAUGCUCAGUUUCCCAGCCAUUGCUAUAAUUUGUCGUAAGUGUCUGAAUUAAAGGAGAAUAAUUUGAAAGAAAUAGAGGAAGAUAAUUGUGAAGAGCUUUGAAUGAGUAGACUGCUUAUUUAUAGAGAGGAACUUCUCUACUAGAUUAAGCUCUUUAGCUAGCACUUGCUGUUGUCACACUCGAACAGUAACCCCUCUGCACUUUUCAUUUAAUUCAAAAGAUAUUCUCAUAUUCGAGUUCG
rnacentral:lncRNA from 1 species